AGUUACCUGUCUAGUUCCUGAAGACAUUUAAGUUUGAGAACCUGGAGUCAAGCCCAGGGCACGGAAGGGAGCAGCAGCAGAUAACCACGGGAAGGUACCUUGAGGUCUGAACACAAAGGGCCUUGAACACUGACCGGGUUAAAAAAUAGGGGCUUCAUGUCGGCAAUAGCUCUGUAACUGCAGCCCCUCUAACCACCAGCAGUGUGGCAAGAAGGGCAUGCAUACACACACACUCACACACCAUACUCACAGACACACCACACACACACAGACACCCCCACACACACGCACAGGCACACACACACACAGACACACACACACCGACACCACACACACACCACAGACACACACACAGACACCACACACACACACAGACACCACACACACACGCAGACACCACACACAGGCACAUACACACACAGACUCACACACACACAGAUACCACACACACACACAGACACCACACACACACACAGGCAACACACACACACACACACACAGGCAACACACACACACACAUAGAUGCCACACAUACAGACACACACAGACACACAGACACCAUACACACUCACAUACACAGACACCACACACACACACACAGAGACACCACACAACAGAUACACACACAGAGACACAUACAGGUGCCACACACACACACAGAUGCCACACGCACAGACACACACACAGACACCACACGCACACACACACAGACAUGCACAGAUGCAGACACACACAGACACCACACACACCACACACACACAGACACCACACAUACACAUAGAUGCCACACAUACAGACACACACACACACACACACACACACACAGGGGCUGAGAUGGUCUAAACUGGUGUCAGCUGGAUCCUGAGUCUCAGGAGAAAUCUGGCACAUGUCGUCACAACCCCAGCCUCCCUCUCACAUCCCCGCCGCUCCCAAGCCCAGCCCUCAGUGGGACCAGCUGUGGCCACAUCAGCUCCCCCUCAGCAGGCUCUCUCUCUCUCUUUUUUUUUUUCCUCUCUCUCUCCUUUGCACAGAAGGGAGUCCCAGAGCCAGUUCCCUUGCCCGGAGAUGUUCCCAGCCCCAGGAGCUCCCAACCCCUUUGCAGGCUGGCUGGCCAGAGAGAGAAUUUCGGACAGGAUUUAGGCCUGGAAUUUCCCUCCAAAUGGGCGGUGUCGAUCAGGUGAGCCAGGUUGCUGGGCUGGGGGCUGAGUGGAAAAAUUUUAUCUGUCCCAACCCCUUCUCCCGAUGACUCAGGCCCACAGUGGCAGUGAGUCUGGGGAGGGAACAAGACAGGAACCCACAAAAAAAUUUUCCCUUGUCUCUCUGGCUCUGCCACUGCCCAGCUCCCCUCCCCCAUUAAACACACGCCCCACCUCACCACUCACUACAGCCACUGCCCGUACCUGGGCAACAGCCAUGGAGCCCACACAUCCCAGGCCCUUCCUAGCUCCCCUGGAGCAGGGCUGCUGGCCCACCGCCACUCGGGCCUUCCCCACGCCAGGCAGCCUGGACGGAGAAACGUGUCCCUGAUGAAGGCCAGGGUGCACACUGGGGUAGGGUUGCCAAGUGUUACAAAUGAAAAUACAGGACACCCAUGGGCCCAUGCAAUAUUUGAGGCCUACUUAUACUAAACAUUUAUUUUUUGCUUAUUCUUUCUAUGCAGAAGGGAGUCCCAGAGCUGAGGACUCUGAAAUUCAUAUUUAACUGAGAAGCCUGUAUUUUAUCUGGCAACCUCUUGUGAGGGGCAGGGGUGGGGGUGGGGAAUACCUAAGGCACCCUCUACACCCAGGAUCACCCAUUGUGCAAGACCUUCCUGUGCCCCCACCGUGUCACCCUACAAGGCCUUUGGCCUCAGGGCCUCUCUCAGCCCUUCCAAGCCCCCAGGCACCAGACUCUCUGAAAAGGAGAACCCCGGCACCCCAAAUCAACACCAGACAGGGAGCCAGCAAGGAUGUGGUGGAGGAAUUUUUGGGGAGUGAUUGUGCCUCAGGAUACUCCAUGCCCACAGCCUCCAGCUUCAGCUGGAAGGCCACAGUGGGGAAGGGGGCCCACAGCUCCAGGGGACCUCUUAGACACCCCUGUCUUCUACUCUCUUAAGUUUCUGCCCAAAUCUGCCCCUCACCCACGGUCUGGUUGAAAGUAUGUCUCUUUCCCUCUCUUCUUUUUUACCCCACAUCCCUCCCAAAACACUCUUGCCCAUGACUUUGUAAUAUUCCCCAUCUCAAAGCCCCAGGUGAGGGGCUUUGUUGAGAAAACAGGGAAGCAGGCAAGAAUUGAGUUUCAUCAGCCAUUUCUUCCUUCACCAGAUGAGCACCUCCCAUGUGCAGGCACUCUGUUAGGCCCCAGGACAGCAGCACCCAAGGCCUCACAGUGCUCACAUCCCGGUGGGAGGCAGAGGACUUUCACCUAGCAGUGAGGGAGGGGCUGAGGCAGAUGAGAGAAGGACAAAGGGCCAUAGCUGCCUUUGGACUUGCAGAUGCACCUAGCCAGCCACUGAGUCUAGGCUGCGGCUGUUGGGGGCUUCUCCCCCUCCUCCUGGGAUUUAAAUUGGGACUCUGUUGGCCCUAACUGUGGGCUGGCUGGCUCUAACAGUAAGCUCCCUGAGGGCAGGGCCACAGCCUGCCUGCCCCUGUGUCAGAUGUUCUCUGGAGAUUGAGGUGUUUUGACUCAGGAUUGAUUGACAAUUGUCUUUGUGGCAGCAGCUGCCUCCGGCCUUGGGGUGAGGGAUGGGUAGAAGCUAAAGGACCCUCUUGUCCCAGAGACCCACCCUCUCUUUCCUGGAGAUUCCCACACCCACCUGCAGUGGAGAGGGCAGGGUCAGGACCCAUUGUCCGGAUGGAAAGACCAAAUCCCAGUGACUCACCUAGAGUCAUGCAGCUCAUGGGGGAAGGGUAGAACCAGGAGAAGAACCUGGCAGGUUCAGAGCACCCCUCAGGGCUCCCACAGCCUCCCUACCUCCACCCACCUGCAGCCUUGUCUGGUGAUGCUGUCUGUUUCAGGCAGCUCAGGCUGUUAUAACCAAAUACUACAGACUGGGUGGCUUACAUAACAGAUGUUUAUUUCUUCUAGUUCUGGAGGCUGGGAAGUCCAAGAUCAAGGUGCUCGUGAAUUUGGUUUCUGAUGAGGAUUCUCUCCUCUUCCUGGCUUGCAGACAGCUGCUUUCUCACAGAGACAGAGAGAGAGAGACAGCCAGAAAACUCUCUGGUAUCUUCUUACAGGGGCACUUAUCCCACCAUGGGGACCCCACCCUCAUGACUUCAUCUAAACCCAAUUACCUCCCAAAGGCCCAUCUCCAAAUACCAUCACACUGGAGUUUAGGGCUCCAACAUAUGAAUUUGAGGGAAUACAAUUCAGUCCAUGUCACUGGGCAAGAGGGAAGACUUUGAGACUGUGACCUUAGUAAGGCUCUUUUACUCUUUCAAGUAGAUCAGUCAUAAGUAAGGCUGGGUGCGGUGGCUCAGGUCUGUAAUCCCAGCACUUUGGGAGGCUGAGGCCAGCAGAUCACCCAAGGUCAGGAGUUCAAGACCAGCCUGGCCAACAUGGUGAAACCCCGCCUCUACUAAAAAUACAAAAAUUAGCUGGGUGUGGUGGCACACACCUGUAAUCCCAGCUACUCAGGAGGCUGAGGCACGAGAGUCAUCCCUUGAACCUGGGAGGUGGAGGUUGCAGUGAGCUGAGAUCAUGCCACUGCACUCCAGCCUGGGCAACAGAGUGAGACUCCAUCUCAAAAAAAAGAAUUGAGAGAGGGAAGAGAAGGGUUUCUCUGACCUUCGGGACCCUUGAAAAGGGCCAGGGCAGGGCACACCACAGUCUGGACCCCCUGAUGCCCGGGUUCUGAGUAUGGCUCAGCAGGCCUUCCCCGACCUGCUUCACUGGGAAUCCUGACUUCUGACUCCAUGCGUCCUGCCCAGGUUGUUGCCUCCAUAUCUUUACACAUCCUUCCCACACGUUAAGUUUGCCUUGAACAAUCAGGUGCUGGCAAAAGUCAAAUGUCAGACUGGAUGGUCCAGUGGGCAGAGCACUGAGCUGUGAACCAAGCAGAGACAAUCUGGCCACUGCCAAACCAGGCACUCCCCCACAGAAUAGCCUCUGGUCUCUUGGUCAACAGCGAGGAUUAUGUUGUUGAAACAGAGGCUCCCUGAACCUGCUAGAAGUGAGGCUUCCCUCACUCCACCCCAAACACCCCACCAGUAAACUUGGACGCUUCAGCAGGGAGAAACUGGGAGUGGGAGAGGAGAGAGAGGCUCCAAGCAGGCCCAUAAUAUCAGAGCUCUAAGGAAGUGUAGAGACCUACCAGACAGUAGACAGAGAGGGAAACUGAGGCUGUGGGGAUAAAGGAAAGAAAAGGAGGCACCCAGAGCUCUGGGUUCUGGUCCUGGCUCAGCACUCUAUGGCCCUGGGCUGGUCCCUUUCCCUCUGUGUGCUCCGGGCCUCCCCCCAGGCUUGCUGUCCCAGGGUUCUAACUGAAGCACCUUGCCCGAGGAGCUCAGGCCCAAUCAGUCAGCCGCAGGUGGACUCCUGAUUUCACCUCCAGGCCCCUGCCUUAGCCAGGUCCUGGGGACUUAUGGCAGAUGGGCUGGGGCAGGGGGAGGGGUGGGGAGAGGAGGAGGGGGAAGAGGUAAAUGUCACGCCAGGGAGGGGCAGCAGGGAAGGGAAACUGAGUGUGUCCCUGGCUUGCCCCAGCCUGUCCCUUACAUCCGGGGAAGGGUGAGAGUGACUGUCAGCUGGGGAAGGGGGGCAAGAAGGGUAAGCUGGGGAAGGGCAGGGAACCCCCGUCUGAACUUGUUGGGGCAGCCGGAUGUAGCAGUUUCCGGCUGAUGAAAGGGCCCUGAUUGAUGUGAUAGUGACUGACUCUAACCCCCAAAUCCGAGUUCUUCCCAUCCUCCCCAACUUGGGCACUCCCAAAGGCCCACUUUGGAGACAGGCAAAAGCCAGAGAGAAGGGAGAAGAGUGGGGCUUCUCCUGCCACUGGGGACAACACCCCAAGGACAGGGUGGAGGGAAGCUUGUCUAAUCUUUCCCACUCCAGCCCAGCAGGGACCCGGGCCAAUUCGAAGUGUGGAGGGAGGGGGAUUGAGCCAGGAUCAGAGGGCAGGGCCAGGGAAGAGGUGCAAAGGCCUUGCUCCCUCCUCUCCCCGUGUUGGACAUUCAAAUAUACAUGUACAGCCCCAAGGAUGGCAGGGAGGAGAGCAGGGAGUGUCACUGAGCAUUCAUUUUACAACCUGUCUAGCCAUUUGCCUUUUGCCAGGCCCAUAUAAUAAUAGCAAACAUUGGUUGAAUGUAGCAGGCAUCCUUCUAAGUAAGAAGUUUAGUGCAUGACCUUGCUGACUCCUCACCACAGCCCUACGAGGGUAAAAUGAAUACGUGGACAUUUACUACGGAGACAAAGUUGGAAAGAACCUGCUAGGCAGAGGGAACAGCACAGGUAAGAGCAAAGAGGAAUGAAAAUAAUACCCUAUUACAGGAAUUGCCAACCAUGUGGCAUGGCUGGAGGGCAUUGGGGGUGACUGAAAAAGAGUUGUUUCCACGGGCCACAUUACCAAUGCCUUUCAUCUCAUAAAAAGAGUUUAGAGUUGGUUCUUGGCACAAGGGCAGGAGAGUAACAAGUUUUGAUUUACAUAUUCAGCAAAUUAGUUAAUAGGGGUGGAGAGAAGCCCAGAGUCUGGGAGGCCGAUGAUUGAGGAAGGAGAAGCUGGGGCUGGAGGUGAGUCAAGGCUUAGAAGGUAGAAAAGAAGAAUGGAAAUAAGAGAUAAGUGGAAGCCAAAUUAGAUAAUAAUUAUCCCUGAGUGGGAAGUAAGUUUGUCUGUCUUACCAGGAUUUCCAGGGUUGCAGCCCAGCCUGGCAUAUUAAUGGCAGGAGGCCAGGUCUAGAGAUGAUCAUGAUGAAGAUGAUGGUGAUUCAUGAUGAGGAGGAGGAAAUUUCCAUUAAAAGAUCCCGGUAGCCCUUUAUAGCUUACAAAGUCCUCUGACUUCCAUGUCCCAGAACAUCAAAAUGUUAUGUUCCUAUUCUGCAAAUGAAGGUCUGAGGCCUGGAGAGGUGAUAGAACCAGAGCAAGACCCAAGCACAAAGGACCUUCCCCUAGGUACACAGGUGGGCAGCCGCUGCUGUCCCCAGCAAGCCCGAGUGAUGACUGUGUGUUCACUGGCUAGCUAUGUGAUCGUGGACGGACAUUGCCCGUCUCUGUGCCUCAGUUUCCUCUUUUAUAAAAUGAGAAAAAUACUUCAUGUGGUUGCUGAAAGGAUGAUAUGACUGAAAACAAGUAAAGAGCUUGGAGCAGAACCUGGCACAUAGUAUGUGCUCAAUAUAUAUGAGCUCUUAUUGUUUGUUUGUUCAUUUGUUUGUUUGUUUUGAAACAAGGUCUCACUCCAUCACCCAGGCUGGAGUGCAGUGGCAUGAUCAUGGCUUACUGUAGCCUCAACCUCCCCAGGCUCAGCUUCCUGAGUAGCUGGGACUACAGGCACGCGCCACCACAUCUGGCUAAUUUUUCUAUCUUUUGUAGAGACAGGAUUUCACCAUAUUGCCCAGGCUGGUCUUAUCUUAAACUCCUGGGCUCAAGCAAUCCACCUGCCUCAGCCUCCCAAAGUGCUGGGAUUACAGGUGUAAGCCACUGUACCUGGCAGGGCUCUUAUUAUUUUUCCAAUUAUUAUUCGUCUUUGCACAAUACCCCACACAGAUCAUCUGGAAAGAAUGACUGGGAAACCAGGCUUUAAGCGUUCACCAGACCCCUUCCUUACUUUCAGACCCUGACUCAUGGAGAAAGGACCAAGGCUGGAAUCUUUGUCCCUGGUCUGGUUCACCAGCACUCUGAGGUCCUUUGCAGCACUCACCCUUUCCAAUCAUUUCCAUGCUCCUUUGUGCUCAUGUGUGCAUUCAUUUAUUCAUUCAUUCAUUCAUUCAGCAAACGUAUCAUAUUCUAGUCUGAGCCCAUCCUAGGGUCUGGGACUACAAAGAAAAUCAUGGCCUGGGCCUUUCUUCAAAGGCCUCACUCACUCAUUCAUUCAUCAAACAUUUACUAGGGGCCUCCUCUGGGCCCACACCUACAUAUUCUGUUUCUAUCCUCUCUUGCCUUUGGACAUGAAAUAAUUAUUCAGGGAGUCAUUUCCCAGAGAUUAUUUCAUUUCCAAUCUUCUUCUCAUGCUUUCCGCCCUGUGUACCCACUCUGCGCACACACCAAAUCACACAGAGAAACCAAAACAGAGAUCCAGAAAGAAUAUUCUCCCACAUCUCCUGUGGCUGAAGACUUUCCACUAGUUCCCAGAGUCUGGAAGGAAGAGCAACAGCAACUGAGUCCUCUGGAAUUUUUUUCCAUUCAUUCAUUCAUUCAUUUAUUCACUCAACAAACAGUUUACUGAGCACUGUAUCUGUGCCAGGCCCUGUGCUAGGAAGUGUGGGGGUAACAGAAAUGAAUAAUCACAGAGUGCACCCUCGAGGAGUCUCCAUUCAGUGGGCCAGUGGCUCAUUCUUUCCACAAAUAUUCACUGAGCUUCUCUAAAGCAUCAGUUAAGCUUUGGGAAUGUGAACAAGAAAGAUGAAGGCCCUGCACUCAAGGAGCUUGCUAUCUAUGAGGCGAUGUCUCGUGCUGUCUGUGAGACAGACAAUGGGCAAGUAAGCAAACCAGUAGACCACUGUUUUUCCAAGCAAGGCUCCGAAGAAAAUAAAACAGGGUGAUAGGACAGUGACUGAGGUUAGACAACACAAGUGAAUUAAAUUUGAGCAGGGCACUUACUUGCCUUCUCUGGGCUUCAGUUUCCUCAAGGAGAACAAUCAUAUCCAUCUCCACCAUGGGAAGCAAACGAGUUAGUAUAUGUAAAGCCUGGAACAUAGUGAGCACUAUGUAAGUGUCAUCAAUUAUUUAUUUUUCCCAGGGAAGGGGAGGGUGGAAUGGAGGAGUCUCACUCUGUCACCCAGGCUGGAGUGCAGUGGCAUGAUCGUGGCUCACUGCAGGCUUGACUGCCUGGGCUCAAGCAAUCCUCCCACCUCAGCCUUCUGAGUAGCUGGGACUACAGGUGUGCACCACCACACCUGGCUAAUUUGUUUACUUUUUGUAGAGAUAGGGGUUUCAUUAUGUUGCCCAGGCUGGUCUCAAACUCCUGGACUCAAGCAAUCCUCCCGCCUUGGCCUCCCAAAGUGCAUCAUUUGUUAUUUUUAGGUAGAUGCAUAAGCAGAUCAUCAAAACAUUAGGUGGUUAGUGCAGAAUAAGGCAAUGUAGAUCCAGGGCAUCCUGGGAGCACUGGAGAGGAGCCCCAACGUGCCAGGUACAGCCCAGCCAGGGAAGAGAGUCAGGACACUGGGCAUAGAUGCCCUCCCUGCGUCACCUAACCCUGCAUCCCUGGAACCCACUGGCCACCCCCAAGGAUGUUGCCUUUCUGAAGUGCUGGAGCAAGUGGAGAGGGGCAGAAGAAAUGCAUGUGCCCCACCUCCCUGCGGACAAGAGGGGAGAGAGGGUACACAGGUGGCCACAGGCAGGCAGAAUAGGGCCUGCUUUCAUGGGCCACCUCCUCCCAGGACCCUGGCUCUCCAAAGUGCCUGCCACCCUGUCUGGUGAUAGAAAUGCUGGGGAGUUGGGAGGAGGGCGGGUGCCCUAACACUCAAUCCACAUGGAGCAGAAUGAAGGGGCAACUCCCCUUUCAUGGAGUUCUUUCCUAGACCCUAGAGUUCAAGAGUUCAGGACUCCUGUUCACAGGAGCACACUAUCUUUCCACCACUCUCAGCAGGGAGUAUCACUGCCCCCACCUCUUAGAUGAGUACAUGGAGGCUGAGAAGGGACACUGAUCUUUCUCAGUCACUCAGUUCAGAAGUGGCAGCGGAAAGUCAGCAUCUGGGCUGGCUGCAAAGUGGCCACUCUUCUUCUCCUUCCCCGUUCUGCUUCUCCCAAUUUGGGGUGCCCAGGAAAGCCUAUUAUGUAGGGAGGGCAGGGCUGUGAGACUCAGGGGAGGUGGGGGAGUGAGAGGCAGAUAUUGCUGUGUAAAAUGACCUGGAUCUGUGGUGAGGGCUCCAGGAUUGGUGGAGAGAGCAGGGUACAGAACUGGGUUGGGGGGUUACAGCCAGGAAGAGAUGGAACCACAGGGAGGAAGCCCCGCCUGCCCCCCAUCCUCAUCACAAUAGGCAUCGUGGCAAACAGAAGGAGGAAGGGGCAAGGCCCCAACCCCUCCUCCACAGUAUCACCUGGCCAGGCAGCCCCAUUCCCAGCCCUGCGCCCACAGGGACCAGGAUGUGGGCAACUAGGGAUAGACAAGCCCUGACGUAGACAACUCUGCGACCCCCAUGCCUGGCCUCCUUAGCCACCAGCCAAAUACUCUUUGUGGUUUGGGCACCGGCCAAGCGCCCACACCCCAGCUCACGGGACCACAGCUUCCCUGUUGCAUCAGGUUACUGAGCGCGUGCACACGCCCCAGAGCCUGUUACACAACUGUGGUGCGCGUGCGCAGCACCCACACACCCUGGGUGGCUCCACAGUCCCACAGAAGAAACCGCAGCCUUGCCUGGAGUGCACAGGGCCCGCUCCAGACUCUUGGCAUUGAGAGCUGGAGAUGGGGGUUAGGGGGAGGAGGGUGCCUGGUCUGGGGCCAGGAUCUGUGAGCUCCACCACUGGCUCAUUGUGAAACACCAGUAAGUCAUGGCCCCUCUCUGAGCCUGUUUCCCCACCUAGAAAGGAAGCUCACCUUCCACCCUGAUGAUCUACAUACCCAAUUGCCCUCUGCGCCCCUCAACACCCUCCAAACCACCACCACCAUCUCCCUUCCUGUAGGAAUGUCAGCAAGAGAGGGAAGCAAGAAUCUGCACAGAGAGGAGACGGAGGGGUGGAUAAGAUGACCUCUAAAAGGGCCCUUUCCUCUUGGGGCUUCUCCCCAGUAGAAGUGGGUGUGCCUUGAGGGGAGCUCCAUCAUCACCCUUUCUCCAGGAAGACCGAGGACAGUGGCCAGAGCUCUUUUGAGAAGAGACUAAGGAGCAGGAGGCAGGGGAUGGGUAACUUUCUUCUGGAGGCAGGGGAUGGGUAACUUUCUUCUUUGUAGUUUUUUCCCCCACUUUUCUACAACAGACAUGUGUCACACACUACUUGCAAUGGGUGGAGGAGGGAGUGUGUUGGGAGGGCAAAUGCUCUUGGGGAAGGUUAAUGUAUCAAGCACACCCCCUUUCCCACCCUUAAGCCAGCAUUUCCCUAACUAUGUUGUGGCAAACGGGCUCAAAUAAGCACAGGAAACCUGAGUUAAACACAGUCUAACAGGUUUUCUUGACUGCAGGACUUCUCUGAGCCUCUAACAUGCUAAUCUGGGCUACAACCCUCAGAGACGAGGGACGAGACAAGGAAACGCAUUUAAUCUCAGAGCUCUUUAUAGGGGAGCAUCUCAAGAUGCACUUACUAGGCACUGCUGGAACUCAGAGUCCGGUGGCACGCCAGGCCCACACCCCAUUGGUGAAGAGCCUCCAUGGAGGAGAGACAGCCUAGGCCCCGGAGGACACCAAGGGCAGAUGCCCUAGGCAGCUACCUCCCACUGCGUGAGUCCAAUCCCAAUCCUUCUCCCCAGAACUGGUCCAAGACCUGUAUCCCAGUUACGAAGGCAGGUAGUAAUGUGGGAGGGCCCAUGGGUGGCCCUGCCGCUUCCCUGAAGUUACUUAGAUCUGCAGUGACCCCUGCUGGCUCUAGCCAAAAUCACCCCUCCCCUUACUCCUCACCUUCCUCCUUGCCAAUCCCUGGCCCUCCAGCCUCUUCCUCAUUAGCCUUGACGCAGCCCCAUCAGGACCCACCGUGACCACACCCAAACACCAGAUCCUUUAUGCUUUCCUUCAUGCCUGGGGUUGGAAUCUGGCCAGGCUUUGACUGAGCAACAUGUUAGUGAGUUCUGAGGCCUGUGCUGGGGAGGCCCUGAUGGCAUGAGGAAGAGGGCUCCGAGGACAGCCUGACCCCUUAUCAAGGGCACAGUCACCCGCAUGGAAGUUCAAGACCACUAUCAUAACAGCAAACAUUCAUUGGCUUUUUCAGGAACAGAGCUGAAUCCUUUAUGUCGAGUAUUCCAUUUAAUUCUCAUAAGAAUUCUACAGGCACUGUUCCUGCAUUGAUCCAGUUUUCCAAUGAGAAACUGAGGCUCAGAAGUUUAAAAAUUACCAAAUGGCAAAACUCAGAUUCAAAUCUGGAUUUCUGGAUUUGAGCCCACCCGUUCCUUCCCCGUGCUAUUUUGCUCUUCUUGCUUCUGCCCACCCCUCAAUCCACCUACAGUGUUCAAGUGUAGUUUUUUCUGCCCAGUGCCCGUGGUUUUGGGGAAGAUGACUCAAGUGGACUUGCCUCAUGUCCUCCAAGCAUGGCCUUGUGAGCAGACCUAGCCAGUCAUUAUACCCUUCCCCCUAGUCAACGGGAACACAGAUUGGGUUUUCAUCCCCCGGAACCCAUUCUUUCUUCUGAUAAAUAGCCUCUUGAUUUCCUCUGGGCAGUCCCUACACUCUCAGUAAAAGUGGCUUGGAUGGAAAUGACUCCAUCUCCCUGUCUCCGUGGGAAGAUUCAGACCACUCAAGCACAGAAAAAAAAAAAAAAAAAAAAAAAAGUCCUAUCCAUAGUGAUUGGUUCAGGAAGGACAUAUGACCAAACCAGGCCCAUCAGAGUCAAUCCUGGAAUUUUACUGGAGCCACUGGGAAGAAGAAUGGCUUUCUGCUCUCUCCGAAGUUACUAAAUGGGUACGUAUAUUCCAAGAGUUUCCAGGAGUACUGCCUAAGGAGAACAUGCGCGAGAAGGAAGCCCACACAGAGGAGAGCAGAGACCAAGCCCUGCAGACAUUGUCCGGGCUGUGCCAAAGACAGACUCACCCCUGGACUCUUCAGUGAUAUAAGCCAAUAAAUUACUUUUUUGUUGUUGUUUUUGUCUUAAGCAAGUAUGAGUUGGGUUCCUGUCCUUUGAAACAAAGAUCUAUCGAAGCCUCCCCCCAUUAUUCCUCAUUGUUAACAGCUGUGUUUCCUUCUUGCCUUUUUCUCCCAUGCUUACACAGACAUACUGGACACUUUCUAAAUAAAAAUUGACGCCACUGGCUACUCCUUUCUUCAAGAUAUACUCUUUCGCUUAUUUUUGUAAAGCCUAGCUCCCGGUUUUCGGCUCUCUUCCUGCCCCUCUGAAGUCCUGUCCAUCUUAUUUUCCUUCACUGGCUCCUCUCUGUUUGCGAGUAACAGAAACCACCUCUGGCACUUAUAAGAAAAAAUAAAAAACAAAAGAAUUAACUGGAAAAAUAUUAAGGAGCUAGGUCAGAGAAUCGACUGGGAGUCUGGAGUACCUAACUUGGAAACCAGACAGAAGUGACUUGGCUGAACUCCAAAGGCCCCUUCCAUCCUAGUGUCAGGAUGCUCAAGAUGCCCAGACCCAAGAGUCUGACCAGCUGAGUUUAGGUCAGAUGGCCGCCCCUCGGCUGCUCCAUGGAGGUGAAAGGGAGGGCCUGGUGCAAUGAGUCUCCAGGGAUCCUUCCAACUCUAGAGUAGGAAAGCAGAUCAUUUGUUUUUUCACCCCACAAGAUGGAGAAGAGACAAUGCCCCAAAAGGAAAACUCAAAAUGAGGGUGAACAUGUUCCCAGCAUUCUCAAGGUUGUGCCCUAGGCUUUUUCUCUUCUCUCCACUGCUCCCUGGGCCUUCUCAUUCCUCUCUUUGAUGGCUGCAGCUGCCACCAAUAUGCCUACAAUGCCCAGGAUAGACCUCUACCCCAGACCUGUCUCUUGAGUCCAGACCCAUAUAUCCAUGAGCCUCUCUACACAGAUGGCUCACAGCCCCUUCAACUCAAUGCGUUCAAACUUAACUCUUCCUGGUCAGCAAACCUGCUCCUUCUUUGAGGUCCCUUAGCUUAGCAAAUGCAACCACCAGACACUCCACUGAUCACAGCAGAACCUGGGAUCCUUGAGUCAUUCUUAAUGUCCCUCACCCUAGCAGUCUCAACUCUAGUACUCCCAUCUUCACCUGAAUAGUUCCUUGUGGCAUAAAUGUCUAGCCAUCUCCCUUUCUUCUUUAGUGAUAGGCCCAUGGCUGCCCAAAAUAAAGACAAAUUCCCUGGCAUCCUUUGCAGCUAGGAGAAUCAUGUGACUGAGCUCUGGCC
rnacentral:lncRNA from 1 species